UGUGAAGCUGGAUGUGUUAAGUCC
rnacentral:piRNA from 1 species